CAGGUAACAAGGUAAACAAAGGGUCACAUGUCAUUGAUGACCAGGUCAUUCCCAUGUCUACUGUUGAAUAUCAGACAAACUGCAGCAAUUCAUUACGGAAUACACUUCACUGAUACACUUCCUCAUCAGAAUGAGUAAAGCCUGAAAUAACUUUAGAAGCUUAGACAUAAGAGAAUGUACAUGAAAACAGCAUACAGUAAGUGUACUGGACAUUUUUAUUGGUGUCAAUGCAUUAGCAUUAGAAAUGACAAUAUGUUCAGAAUUGUAUUUAUUGAUUUUUAUUUAACCUUUUAACCUAAAAGCCUUCUAGGCAAGUCAGUUAAGAACAAAAUUCUUAUUUACCACGACGGCCUAACCCGGCCAAACCCGGACGACGCUGGGCUAAUUGUGCGCCGCCCUAUGGGACUCCCAGUCACAGCCGGAUGUGAUGCAGCCUGGAUUCGAACCAGGGACUGUAGUGACACCUCUCGCACUGAGAUGCAGUGACUUAGACCGCUGCGCCACUCGGGAGCUCUGUAUUGUAUGUAUUGAUCAGACAUUUAUUUAAUAAUUUACGAUCGGCCAGCAUAGCCAAAAUAUUGAUCAACAUGAACACAUGAGAAAUAAAGGUGAGAAAUAAAGGUGAGAAAUAAAGGUGAGACAUAAAGGUGAGACAUAAAGGUGAGACAUAAAGGUGAGACAUAAAGGUGAGACAUAAAGGUGAGACAUAAAGGUGAGACAUAAAGGUGAGACAUCAUUUGACAGAAAACUAAUUUAGAGCCAUAAGUCAUAAUCUAACCCUAACCCUGCCGCCCUACAGUGUUCAGGACCCCAUUGAUUCAUACAGUUUGUAACGCUCAUCUCCUGUCUGAAUGGCUUGGAAGAAAAAUAAUACAAAGUAACAAAAUGUGAUGUCGUAUCACGUAAAAGUGAAUUACUUAGACUUUAGGAAAUGUAACCAACUAAGAGAUUGAUGGGAGAGGAGGGGAGGUAGACAAGCUUCAAUCACCC
rnacentral:lncRNA from 1 species